rnacentral:rRNA from 1 species
GACGAACGCUGGCGGCGUGCUUAACACAUGCCAGUCGAACGGAAAGGCCCCUUUGGGGGUACUCGAGUGGCGAACGGGUGAGUAACACGUGAGUAACCUGCCCUUGACUUCGGGAUAACUUCAGGAAACUGGGGCUAAUACCGGAUAGGAAUCCUUGCUGCAUGGUGGGGGUUGGAAAGCUUCGGCGGUUUUGGAUGGACUCGCGGCUUAUCAGCUUGUUGGUGGGGUAGUGGCUUACCAAGGCUUUGACGGGUAGCCGGCCUGAGAGGGCGACCGGCCACAUUGGGACUGAGAUACGGCCCAGACUCCUACGGGAGGCAGCAGUGGGGAGUAUUGCACAAUGGGCGGAAGCCUGAUGCAGCAACGCCGCGUGCGGGAUGACGGCCUUCGGGUUGUAAACCGCUUUCAGCAGGGGCGAAGCUUGUGGUGACGGUACCUGCAGAAGAAGCACCGGCUAACUACGUG